rnacentral:tRNA from 1 species
GGCACUUUGGCGGAGUGGUUAACGCGAUGCCCUGCUAAGCGGUAAGGCAUUUCCCUCGGGAGCGUGUGUUCGAAUCACACAGGUGUCG